rnacentral:rRNA from 1 species
UACGUAGGUGGCAAGCGUUGUCCGGAAUUACUGGGCGUAAAGGGUGCGUAGGUGGUUUCUUAAGUCAGAGGUGAAAGGCUACGGCUCAACCGUAGUAAGCCUUUGAAACUGGGAAACUUGAGUGCAGGAGAGGAGAGUGGAAUUCCUAGUGUAGCGGUGAAAUGCGUAGAUAUUAGGAGGAACACCAGUUGCGAAGGCGGCUCUCUGGACUGUAACUGACACUGAGGCACGAAAGCGUGGGGAGCAAACAGGAUUAGAUACCCGCGUAGUCCCUGA